rnacentral:lncRNA from 1 species
AUAGACCCCUCGAGGGCUGUCAAGCACAUAAUUAACGACCGUCUCUCCAUGGGAGGUAUCAGAAUCAGAGGUUCCUGCAACUUAUUCUUUUUAUUUUUCAAAUGCCCCUUGGCAAUCAUUAUCCUACCUGACCGUUUGAUCUCUUUUCUUUUUUUUUUGUUUGUUUGUUUGGUUUCGGUUCAGGCGUUUCUUGUAUUGCUCUUUUCUUUUUACUUUUUUUUUUUUUUUUUUUNUUUUUUUUUUUUUUAGCAGGACCAACCUCGAUUCCUCUUAUCCGCUCUCAAUAAGCCUUUUAUCGGACAGUACCCCAUAAGUGCACUGAUUCGAACUCAACAGUAUGAGUUAUCUCAACCGGUCAAACAACUUGCCUCGGUCUAC